rnacentral:rRNA from 1 species
GACGAACGCUGGCGGCGUGCUUAACACAUGCAAGUCGAACGGAAAGGCCUGCUUUCCCUUGUGGAUUGCGGGUACUCGAGUGGCGAACGGGUGAGUAACACGUGAGUGAUCUGCCCCCAACUUGGGUAUAAGCCUGGGAAACUGGGUCUAAUUCCCGAUAGGACUGCAGGGUGGUGCCUGUGGUGGAAAACGAUUUUCUAGUGGUUGGGGAUGAGCUCGCGGCCUAUCAGCUUGUUGGUGGGGUAAUGGCCUACCAAGGCGGCGACGGGUAGCCGGCCUGGGGGGGUGGAGGGCCCAGUUGGGAAUGAGGUACGGCCCAGCCCCCUACGGGGGGCAGCGGUGGGGAAUAUUGCAAAGGGGGGGGAAGCCUGAGGCAGCGCCGCCGGGGGGGGGAUGCCGGCCUUGGGGUUGGAAACUCCUUCCGACCGGGAGGAACCCCCCUGGUUGGAAGGGGGGUGACGGUAGUGGUAAAAGAAGCCCCGGCUAACUACGU